GACGAACGCUGGCGGCAUGCCUAAUACAUGCAAGUCGAGCGGAGUUGAUGGAAAGCUUGCUUUCCUGAUACUUAGCGGCGGACGGGUGAGUAACACGUAGGCAACCUGCCCUCAAGCUUGGGACAACUACCGGAAACGGUAGCUAAUACCGAAUACUUGUUUUCUUCGCCUGAAGAGAACUGGAAAGACGGAGCAAUCUGUCACUUGGGGAUGGGCCUGCGGCGCAUUAGCUAGUUGGUGAGGUAACGGCUCACCAAGGCGACGAUGCGUAGCCGACCUGAGAGGGUGAUCGGCCACACUGGGACUGAGACACGGCCCAGACUCCUACGGGAGGCAGCAGUAGGGAAUCUUCCGCAAUGGGCGAAAGCCUGACGGAGCAAUGCCGCGUGAGUGAUGAAGGUUUUCGGAUCGUAAAGCUCUGUUGCCAGGGAAGAACGCUUGGGAGAGUAACUGCUCCCAAGGUGACGGUACCUGAGAAGAAAGCCCCGGCUAACUACGUGCCAGCAGCCGCCGCCG
rnacentral:rRNA from 1 species